CUCUUGUCUGUCUCCUUUCCUUCUGUUUUUUUUGGUUAAUCAGUUAACCUUUACUUUUGAAUUCUUUAGACCUCUCGCAAUCUUUGACCUCUUCCUGCUCCUCUUCGCCUCUCUCCUCCCCCGAGGUUGUGUUACCCAUCAUGGACUUCCACUCACCCUGAGACCGCUUUGCCCUGGGACUAGUACCCCAUGUUGGGCACCAGUUCCUGGCUUCUUUGAGCCUCCAUUUGCCAGGCAAGAAAAGAAUUCUGUACUGAUUUAAGCCUUAUCUUGAACUAAUCCUCCUGGAAUCUACAGAGGAGCUUCACGGCCAUGCCCCAUCUGAGACAGAAGGCACCUGCCUGCCUUGUCAGUCUCCAGCCAUCUCGUCAGCCUUAAGGAAUAGCACAGAGCCAUUGCUAUUGCCUAACUGUGGAAUUGCUCACAGUGCCUGUGUUGAUCCUCUAGAUUUCCUGCUUAUUCACCAAUAUUUAAGGAUCUGUCACUGACCAAGAACCCUCCACGUGGAUUUCAGGAAUUCCUGCCUCCCCAGCUCUGGCAUCACAAGCGAAGUCACCAUGUCUGCUUCCCCCUCCCCCCCACCUCCCACUGCCUGCCACCGCAUGGUUUCUAAGGGUCAAAUUCCGAGCCUUAUGCUUGCAAGGCUGGCAGUUCAUGCAUAAAGCCAUCUUCUGCUAGAAUACAUCUGUUACAUGGUGUUAAAUAAGUUAAUAUGUAUAAAGGCCCAUAACAAUUUUUCAAGAAAAACUGUGAUUCUGCUCAUGUUAAUGGUAGCUGCCCUAGAACACACAUACCAUUACCAAUUAAGGAAGGUAACAUGAAUUCAAUUUUGUGCCUUUGAAUUGGCACAAAAGAAUGUAAACAGCAGAGACCAUUGCUCACUGUCAAAAAUGUUGACAAAGAACUUGAACAGGUGUCUGAAAACUUGCCCCUUCACCUAUAAAUGGAUAAAAUACUGCUGGUUCCUCUGAUGGUGUAUCCAGUAGAGAGAGAGUUAAGGCCUUGUGAUGUAGUUCUCAGAGUGUAUGGAUACCACAGGUCCAGACCCCUGGACUUUGCAAAGUUUCAGUUUUGUAUUUGCCUCUGGCCACUGAAGUAGACUGUGCAAGAUAGUCACUUUGUCCGUUUUCUCACUUGCAAAACGGGCAUAACAACAAUAGCACUGGCCUGGUGGGAAUAAUUAAAGGACUGAAAGUACUUAGAACUAUGCCUGUUAAGUAGCAAGUACUUAGUAAUUUUAAUUUAUUACUGUUUACUACUAAGAUGGAAGGUGCCCUAGCAGCCCAAGGAAGAAAACAUUUUAGCCCAGCAGAACCAAGAAAAUCUUCAUGGAAAAGCUUAUAGCUCAAAAGCAAGUUUUGAUCGAUUAGUAGUUCCCCGGGGAAUGGGAUUCUGUAUGGCCCUGCAGGUUUUGUGGUUAUGUUUUGUUUGCGUUAUUUAUUUAUUUGUUCCAAAAACGCAACAGAUAAAAAUCUAUCCCUUCUUUGAGUGACAAUAUGCAGCACAAAUCACCCGCCCGCUGAAUUUCUCAAUGCUCCUGCAACUACAGUGUUUAAAUGAGCUGAAAUGCAUUUGACAUUACUGCAGCUUUAAGGAUGCAUGAGCUCUGUGUCACCCCAGAAGUCAGCCCCUGCUCACCUCACUUGUCACACGCCAUUAGCAGUAUCCCUGGGCGAGGGACCUAGGGUUAAAGGUUAAGUUUAGAAGCCAUCUUGUCAUUUUUCUGCUUGCAAUGGUUGGAUGCAGACUGAGAAUUCAUUAAAUAUUUAAUUUUGUUUGGUUUGCUUCAGGGUAAAGGCUAAAAGAACUCUGGCUGAUGUGUUGUUGAUUCCCCCCUCUGUUCACCUGUAAUUUUUCUUGAUCUUCAACGGAAGGAUCCUUUCUUUAGGUGCAUAAUUAUUUCUGGAACUUGACUAUUACACACUUUAAAGAAAGUGUUUGGAAAUGCUACUCACAGAACAAACCUAGCAAGAGCUUGGUGCAGACCCUUGCGGGUCCCAGAGCACAGCUAACCUGAACUCUGGGUUAGAUUCCUUCUAAACAGACUUAUUUAUAAAGCUCCUGCUAUUUUCUUUUGCUGGGCAUCUGCUGGACAAGGCAGCAAGGCCACUUAUGGAGUGAGGAAAGUUCCUUUUAUCAAUGUCCCUAGGGCAUAGUUCUACAAGGACUGGAGAGCAUCUGGGUAGACAUUUCUCCUUAGGUGCCUUUCUGUUUGGUGGAGAAAAGCACUUUCCUUCGACCGUGUGUGUCAGAGCUCCUUGUCAACACUGAGAAAAUAGGCUUUUAGCGCUGACCAGUUCACCCUUCUGGAACAUUCCUCUUCUUUUAAGCAACCAUAGAAAUACCAGGACCAGAGGAGGCACAGGGCACCUUUUCUUUGUCUGAGUCUUCAGACAAGGGAAGGUAACUGGAGCUUCCUCCAACACUGGCCCCUCCAGAGGAAUGACCAAUUUGCAGGGCGACUGCUGCCGUCUCCACACUCUCUCCUCUCAUUUGUGGGUUGCUGAAGACACUGCUUUGCUCUGACAUCACACUUGAAUCUCUCCAACUGUGCCAGAAAGCUCCAAGGAAUGAAAGAUCGGCAGUUCCUUCAAAGCCACUGGCAUUCCCAGCCAGUAUUUCUUCUUCUUACACCGUUCUGUCCAUCUUCUGUUAGAAAAGAACAGUUGGCUUAUAUGCAACCAGCCCCUGGGAAAUCCUGCAGGAACUCUCGAGGUUUCUUCACAUGUUUGGAAGCCCAUUGAGGGGAGGGAAAUGCAAGGCUGACUACAGGUUAGAGGGUGACUGUGCUAGGAUGAGUGUGGGGGAAAGUCAGGAGACAAACGUUUUUCUCACUGUGUUCUUCUAGUGCAUGUUGGGGUUGUCAUGUGGGGACCAAGUGUUUAAACACAAACUCUUGCCUGAGGGGACAUUCACAUCCAAAUCACAACAGGCUUGUAGUAUUUUGCCAGAAUGAGGUUAACAGGGUGAUGGCUCCUUUUAGUUUGGAAUUUCAAAAUGGUAUGGCAACAUUUGCUUCUUCCAGGCCAUUUGUGAUAGAAGUUCAGAAAGGAGGAAGAAUGUGGAGAGCAUGUUUUAUAACAGAAACAUUGUAUCUAUUCAUUGAAACCCAAUCCAAAGGGCAUCUGAAGUGGAUUUUCCCCUUGAUUACAGUCAUAAAAUGAUGACUGUACUGGGUCAUUGAAUGUGGAGCAGCAGAAGUUGGAGUAGGCUAGAGUGACUGAAUGUUGUCCGGGUAGAUGUCAACUUCUUCUCUUGGCUAAAAUAUGUUUUGAGGUGCAGGAUUAGAGAAAUAACUCUGCCUCACUAGCUUUUGGGUGUGAUUUUAGUUAGCACCUAGUACUGUAAUUUCCUUGAGGGUACUGGUCAGGCAAGCAUGCGCUUUAGUUGCAGGCGGAAGGAUGAAAGGUGGGGAGAAGGAUGAGGUACCUGGGCUCAUUCAGACGAAGGAAACCAAGAUGCGGAAGGGGAUUCCCGGCUGUGGAAAGCAGGCUGAAGUUAGAGGCUGCUGAAACUGGAGGAAGGUAACUAUUAGGUGAUACAGCACCUGCCUUCAGACACCUUAAGGCUCUCACUGGACGUGUGGAAGACAGAAACAUACAGUCUUCCGGGGUGGAAUUUGACUGACAGGUGGAAGCUCACAGGAAGGUUACAGCAUUUUAAAAACUGAUCUGUCAAGGGAUGGCAAGAUGGUUCAACAGGUAAGGACUUGAUUAUCUGCAUUUGAUCCCUGGGACCCAC